rnacentral:snoRNA from 1 species
GGGACUAUACUUUCAGGGGUCAUUUGUGUGGUUUGUGAUUAACGAAGUUUCUUUGUAGAGCAUCUGUAAACAAGGAGGAGGGGGCAGUGUAUUUUGCUCAGCUUGAAUCUGCCACUGUGGCAUCGUUACUGCUCUUGAUAAUCGUGCGGUUUUCUUUCGUCGGGGGAGAGUAAGAAAGGUGCGGUUUUCUUUCGUCGGGGAGAGUAAGAAAGAGAGAGCGCCGUCUGAGUGCU